GCCUCCUGUAAACAUUCUCCGGCUCCGCCGCUGACACGACGGCGCCACCGUAGGCAAACAGUGGAGCCGCCUUCUUCCACGGCACAUUGCGGAGGAAGGAGACUGGAAAGGAAAUGUCUUUUGUAUUCUUCGCAUGUGAACUCGGAGACGGAAACCGAUGCUUCAAGGUCAGUGGGAGACACGAGAAGACUUUCCCAUCAUUUUUCGGUCUCGAUUGUUCUAUUUAAGGAAGGUGGAAUCACAAUAGACAACGAAAAUACAGCGCGAUGAUCUUUACAUAUCAUUUCGGUAAAUAUAAUAAAAAGAAAUCGAUGACCGAAGACGAGAGCCAGCGAAAAAGGCGCAUCUUUUUCAGUUUCUUGUUAAUAAUAGGUGCCAGUUUAGAGAGAGAAAUGGGGAUCGAUUGGUUCGGCUUGUGGCCUUCGCUUUGUGUUUUGGUGGCGAAGAAAGGGAAGAUUGUGCGACAGAGGAGGAGGAGCGGCGGGAUCUGAGGCAAGAGGCGGUCGUUGUCGUCAUCAAUGGCGGUCUCCUGGUUCUCCGCCGUCAGGAUUACCCUCCUCGUGCUCCUUGCUGUUGCUACCGCUGCCGCCUUCUUCACGCUUCCUGUCGAAAAGAUUCUGAGGGAGUUCUUGGUCUGGAUAAAGCAGAAUCUUGGUCUAUGGGGACCUGCUAUGUUGGCCGUUGCUUAUAUUCCUUUAACUAUACUUGCUGUUCCAGCUGCAGUACUUAGUCUUGGUGGUGGAUAUCUAUUUGGGUUGCCGAUAGGCUUUCUUGCUGAUUCAAUUGGAGCAACACUUGGUUCUGUGGCUGCAUUUUUGCUUGGUAGAACUUUAGGAAGGCCCUACGUCAUCGCCAAAAUGAAUGACUAUCCUGAUUUCCAAGCUGUUGCAGUAGCAAUUGAGAGAUCUGGCUUUAAGAUUGUGUUGCUACUUAGGCUGGCACCUUUGAUUCCAUUUUGCUUGUUGAAUUACUUCCUAUCUGUUACACCGAUCGGCCUUGCAGAAUAUACAAUGGCUUCUUGGCUAGGAAUGAUGCCAAUUACUCUUGUCCUGGUGUAUGUCGGUACUACUUUGGAUGACCUAGCUGAUGUUACACAUGGAUGGAGUGAGGCUUCAACUGCUCACUGGGUAUGUUUAUCGCUGUCUAUCUCAUUUGUCGAUUAUCAUGAGUUAAUUCCCGUCCUGUUAUUGUCACUAUGCAAUUUGACACGAAGUUGCAACUAUGAAAUAUCACUUCCUUUCUUUUGACAAUCAUUUUUUUUCAUAACUACUCGGCAUUUAAUGUUAGUGUGGUUACAUUAUCAAAAUCUGGAUUGGAAACAAAAAAAAUAAUCAUAAAAAUAAACAUCCUUUUAUAUCGCAGAUUGACAUAAUUGUUAUUUGAGUUGCUUACAUGCUAGUUUGAAUCCACGUGUUAGUUUUCUUACAAGUGGUGAAUAGAUAUAAACAAACACAUAAAAGGGCAGCCUGGUACACAAAGCUCCCGUCAGUGCGGAGUUCUGGAGAAGGAUCGGAACACAUUGGGUCAAUUGGAACUAUGGUAGCUGGAUUAGUGAUAUCUGCCAUCCUUAUGGUCUGCGUGACGAGAGAAGCAAAGGCUGCUCUUCAAAAGGCUUUAGCUGAGAACUUAGAGGCUGAGGACAUCCUCAUC